GUAAAUAAACAGACAGGUCAAUAAACAGACAGACAGGUAAAUAAACAGACAGGUAAAUAAACAGACAGGUCAAUAAACAGACAGACAGGUAAAUAAUCAGACAGACAGGUAAAUAAACACACAGGUAAAUAAACAGACAGGUAAAUAAACAGACCGACAGGUAAAUAAACAGACAGGUCAAUAAACAGACAGACAGGUCAAUAAACAGACAGACAGGUAAAUAAACAGACAGGUCAAUAAACAGACAGACAGGUCAAUAAACAGACAGACAGGUAAAUAAACAGACCGACAGGAAAUAAGCAGACAGAUCAAUAAACAGACAGACAGAUAAAUAAACACACAGGUAAACAAACAGACAGGUAAAUAAACAGACAGAUCAAUAAACAGAGAGACAGAUAAAUAAACACACAGGUAAACAAACAGACAGGUAAAUAAACAGACCAACAGGUAAAUAAACAGACAGAUCAAUAAACAGACAGACAGGUAAAUAAACAGACAGAUCAAUAAACAGAGAGACAGGUAAAUAAACAGACAGGUCAAUAAACAGACAGACAGGUAAAUAAACAGACAGGUAAAUAAACAGACAGGUCAAUAAACAGACAGACAGGUAAAUAAACAGACAGGUCAAUAAACAGACAGACAGGUAAAUAAACAGACAGGUAAAUAAACAUACAGGUAAACAAACAGACAGGUAAAUAAAAAGACAGAUCAAUAAACAGAGAGACAGUUAAAUAAACAGAUAAGUAAAUAAACAGACAGAUCAAUAAACAGACAGACAGAUAAAUAAACACACAGACAGAUAGACAUACAGACAGACAGAUAAAUAAACAGACAGACACACAGAUAAAUAAACAGACAGACAGAUAGAUAGACAUACAGACAGACACACAGAUAAAUAAACAGACAAACAGACAGAUAGACAUACAGACAGACAGAUAAA
ensembl:lncRNA